rnacentral:rRNA from 1 species
GACGAACCAUCCAAACGUUAUUCGGAAUUACUGGGCUUAAAGGGUGCGUAGGCUGUGCGGAAAGUUGGGUGUGAAAUACCUCAGCUUAACUGAGGAACUGCGCUCAAAACUACCGUGCUCGAGGGAGACAGAGGUGAGCGGAACUUAGGGUGGAGCGGUGAAAUGCGUUGAUAUCCUAAGGAACACCGGUGGCGAAAGCGGCUCACUGGGUCUUUUCUGACGCUGAGGCACGAAAGCUAGGGUAGCGAACGGG